UACAGAGGGUGCGAGCGUUAAUCGGAAUUACUGGGCGUAAAGCGCACGCAGGCGGCUGCGUAAGUCAGGUGUGAAAUCCCCGGGCUCAACCUGGGAACUGCAUUUGAGACUGCGCAGCUAGAGUAUGGGAGAGGAAGGCGGAAUUCCCGGUGUAGCGGUGAAAUGCGUAGAUAUCGGGAGGAACAUCAGUGGCGAAGGCGGCCUUCUGGCCCAAUACUGACGCUCAGGUGCGAAAGCGUGGGGAGCAAACAGG
rnacentral:rRNA from 1 species